UACGUAGGGUGCAAGCGUUGUCCGGAGUUAUUGGGCGUAAAGAGCUUGUAGGCGGUUUGUCGCGUCUGCUGUGAAAUUUCGGGGCUCAACCCCGAACUUGCAGUGGGUACGGGCAGACUAGAGUGUGGUAGGGGAGACUGGAAUUCCUGGUGUAGCGGUGAAAUGCGCAGAUAUCAGGAGGAACACCGAUGGCGAAGGCAGGUCUCUGGGCCAUAACUGACGCUGAGAAGCGAAAGCAUGGGGAGCGAACAGG
rnacentral:rRNA from 1 species